AGCACUUCCCUUCCACACUUCGGUAUCAUUUGAGGGGACCACGCUCUUCACUCCCCUGCACUCCGUAUCAAUAAUUCCUGCUUCUGGCCAGGCGCGGUGGCUCACGCCUGUAAUCCCAGCACUUUGGGAGGCUGAGGUGGGCGGAUCACAAGGCAUGGCCCAUGUCCCUGGGAACAGUAGAGACUGAGGCCUGGGUCUCAGUGGCAUCAAUUAGAGCCUUUCCCUGGGACUGAUGUACGAGUGUCUCUUUCUGUUGGCAUCUUUAAAUGAGAAGAUAAAAAUCCAGGUUAUCAUUAGCCACAUUCACUGGUCAAGAAAAAGGCCUCUGCAGAACACAGCUGAGCAGAACCACACAGAAGUGGAAGAAGCAAAGAGGUUUCCAGAAGACUAGGAUGGUCGGCAGAGAGUAUCCGAAUUAUUGCUCCAUGCUGCGAGAUCCCUGUUCCUAGGAAAGCCGAGGUCUGCCUUCCAAUGUGCAAUUCUAGCUUAAUAGGGAAGUUAUAUCACUGUUGACAGUCUUGUCCUUUCUUAAUAAAUCUUAGGAGUUAUCCCAUAAGGAAUAUUCAUUUUCCUUCAGACAUGAAGUGACCAUUAAGAUGCGCCAGUAAAGAAUCCAUGGCUUUCAGUGUCUGGCCCUAUUUCUUCUAGUUCAAGAAUUUUAAGAAAAAAUAUUGCAAUAAAAGGUAUAUUUUUAUUAGCUACAAAGUGGAUACAUUUCUUGUUUCUCAAAAAAAAAAAAUGUGUUAUUCUGAAAAUGUUCAAAUAGCCAGGAUUUAUAUUUUGCUAAAGUUAGAUUUUAAAUAAAAGAUUCCUGCUUAAUUAUAAAGAGAGAAUAUUUACUGAUAGAAAAUGUCUCUAUAAAUGGAAACAUGUUUUCAUGCUGUCCCCUGACACCCGUCGGGGGUGGCAAGAGAGUGGAGAGUGGAGAUUGCUCAACACCAAAGGUGAAGCUGGGUCAUCAAAGGGCAGGAAGAAUUAUGAUGGCUGAAAAUAACAACAGAGGGGACCCACAGCAAAGUCCAACCUUAGCCUCCACCAAUAAAUAAAUGUACCACCAAUAGAUAAAUUAAAAAAGUGACCUUCU
ensembl:lncRNA novel transcript